rnacentral:rRNA from 2 species
GGGACACGUGGUAUCCUGUCUGAAUAUGGGGGGACCAUCCUCCAAGGCUAAAUACUCCUGACUGACCGAUAGUGAACCAGUACCGUGAGGGAAAGGCGAAAAGAACCCCGGCGAGGGGAGUGAAAAAGAACCUGAAACCGUGUACGUACAAGCAGUGGGAGCACGCUUAGGCGUGUGACUGCGUACCUUUUGUAUAAUGGGUCAGCGACUUAUAUUCUGUAGCAAGGUUAACCGAAUAGGGGAGCCGAAGGGAAACCGAGUCUUAACUGGGCGUUAAGUUGCAGGGUAUAGACCCGAAACCCGGUGAUCUAGCCAUGGGCAGGUUGAAGGUUGGGUAACACUAACUGGAGGACCGAACCGACUAAUGUUGAAAAAUUAGCGGAUGACUUGUGGCUGGGGGUGAAAGGCCAAUCAAACCGGGAGAUAGCUGGUUCUCCCCGAAAGCUAUUUAGGUAGCGCCUCGUGAAUUCAUCUCCGGGGGUAGAGCACUGUUUCGGCAAGGGGGUCAUCCCGACUUACCAACCCGAUGCAAACUGCGAAUACCGGAGAAUGUUAUCACGGGAGACACACGGCGGGUGCUAACGUCCGUCGUGAAGAGGGAAACAACCCAGACCGCCAGCUAAGGUCCCAAAGUCAUGGUUAAGUGGGAAACGAUGUGGGAAGGCCCAGACAGCCAGGAUGUUGGCUUAGAAGCAGCCAUCAUUUAAAGAAAGCGUAAUAGCUCACUGGUCGAGUCGGCCUGCGCGGAAGAUGUAACGGGGCUAAACCAUGCACCGAAGCUGCGGCAGCGACGCUUAUGCGUUGUUGGGUAGGGGAGCGUUCUGUAAGCCUGUGAAGGUGUGCUGUGAGGCAUGCUGGAGGUAUCAGAAGUGCGAAUGCUGACAUAAGUAACGAUAAAGCGGGUGAAAAGCCCGCUCGCCGGAAGACCAAGGGUUCCUGUCCAACGUUAAUCGGGGCAGGGUGAGUCGACCCCUAAGGCGAGGCCGAAAGGCGUAGUCGAUGGGAAACAGGUUAAUAUUCCUGUACUUGGUGUUACUGCGAAGGGGGGACGGAGAAGGCUAUGUUGGCCGGGCGACGGUUGUCCCGGUUUAAGCGUGUAGGCUGGUUUUCCAGGCAAAUCCGGAAAAUCAAGGCUGAGGCGUGAUGACGAGGCACUACGGUGCUGAAGCAACAAAUGCCCUGCUUCCAGGAAAAGCCUCUAAGCAUCAGGUAACAUCAAAUCGUACCCCAAACCGACACAGGUGGUCAGGUAGAGAAUACCAAGGCGCUUGAGAGAACUCGGGUGAAGGAACUAGGCAAAAUGGUGCCGUAACUUCGGGAGAAGGCACGCUGAUAUGUAGGUGAAGUCCCUCGCGGAUGGAGCUGAAAUCAGUCGAAGAUACCAGCUGGCUGCAACUGUUUAUUAAAAACACAGCACUGUGCAAACACGAAAGUGGACGUAUACGGUGUGACGCCUGCCCGGUGCCGGAAGGUUAAUUGAUGGGGUCAGCGCAAGCGAAGCUCUUGAUCGAAGCCCCGGUAAACGGCGGCCGUAACUAUAACGGUCCUAAGGUAGCGAAAUUCCUUGUCGGGUAAGUUCCGACCUGCACGAAUGGCGUAAUGAUGGCCAGGCUGUCUCCACCCGAGACUCAGUGAAAUUGAACUCGCUGUGAAGAUGCAGUGUACCCGCGGCAAGACGGAAAGACCCCGUGAACCUUUACUAUAGCUUGACACUGAACAUUGAGCCUUGAUGUGUAGGAUAGGUGGGAGGCUUUGAAGUGUGG